CCAUUUAAAAGGAGGAGCAGGCGCGCAAUUACCCAAUCCUGACUCAGGGAGGUAGUGACAAGAAAUAACAAUAAACCGGCUUAUGCCGGUUUAAUUGGAAUGAGUACAAUUUAAACAUCUUAACGAGGAACAAUUGGAGGGCAAGUCUGGUGCCAGCAGCCGCGGUAAUUCCAGCUCCAAUAGCGUAUACUAAAGUUGUUGCAGUUAAAAAGCUCGUAGUUGGAUUUCUGUGGGGACGGAGCGGCCGGCCGCAACACGCGGUUCGAGCUAGCGCUUUCCCUACAUCCUGCCGCGAACCGUGCUACCAUUAGUUUGGUGGCGCCGGGGAUCGGCUCGAUUACUUUGAGAAAAAUAGAGUGUUCAAAGCAGGCCACACGCCUUGAAUAAGUUAGCAUGGAAUAAUAACUAAGGACUUCGGUUCUAUUUUGUUGGUGUUCGGGACUGAAGUAAUGAUUGAUAGGGACAGUUGGGGCGGUCUGUAUUCCAAAGCGAGAGGUGAAAUUCUUAGACCUUCGGAAGACAAACAGCUGCGAAAGCGUUCCGCAAGGAUGUUCCCUUUGAUCAAGAACGAAAGUUGGGGGAUCGAAGACGAUCAGAUACCGUCGUAGUCUCAACUAUAAACUAUACCAGCUAGGGAUCGGCCAACGUUAUUCUAUACCGACUUGGUCGGCACCUUACGAGAAAUCAAAGCAUCUGGGUUCCGGGGGGAGUAUGGUCGCAAGGCUGAAACUUAAAGGAAUUGACGGAAGGGCACCACCAGCCGUGGAGCCUGUGGCUUAAUUUGACUCAACACGGGAAAACUUACCAGGUCCAGACAUAGUAAGGAUUGACAGAUUGAUAGCUCUUUCUUGAUUCUGUGGGUGGUGGUGCAUGGCCGUUCUUAGUUGGUGGAGUGAUUUGUCUAGUUAAUUCCGUUAACGAACGAGACCCCAGCCUGCUAAAUAGCGCGUGUGAGCUUUGCUCGCAGCGAGCUUCUUAGAGGGACUAUGAUGCGCGAUAGCACAUGGAAGUUUGGGGCAAUAACAGGUCUGUGAUGCCCUUAGAUGUUCUGGGCCGCACACGGGCUACACUGGCGCCUGCAACGAGCAUAUCAGCUGGCCCGAGAGGGUCUUGGCUAAUCUUUUGAACCGGCGCCGUGCUUGGGAUUGACCUUUGCAAUUGUUGGUCAUGCAACGAGGAAUGCCUUGUAAACGCGAGUCAUCAGCUCGCAUUGAAUACGUCCCUGCCCUUUGUACACACCGCCCGUCGCUCCUACCGAUGAAUGUUCCGAUGAAAUUUUCGGAGAGUGCCUGUGAACUUGGCUCUGCCUUGCGAACGGGAAGCUCAAAGUCACUUAAAUCUAACCAUUAA
rnacentral:rRNA from 1 species